UCGGUGCCGGGAAGCAGGGCGGCAAGCCCAAGUCCUUCGCCAACGAGUGCAUGCGUCAUGAACAACUACAACUGCGAGCACAAGGACAGUAAAGUUCUGCUGUAGCUACUGCAGUGGGCGCUCGAGCCAGUUUGUGUCGGUAAGCAGGGCGACAAGCUUCUAAUCCUUCGCCAACGAGUGCCUCAUGAACAACUACAACUGCGAGCAUAAGGAUAGUAAGUACUGCUGUAGCUACUAUGAUGAUGAUGAUCCGGCCGAUUUCGACCAAGGCGACCACUUCGACUCCUAGUUCGCUCGGCGCUCGUGCGCGCGAAUAUGGCUGACGUAGCCGAUCUUUAAGGUGAACACCCGCGCACAUUGAGGGCACAUGAGGACACCAGCCACAUUGUAGUAGUGGUAGUAACUACUAUAGUGGCCCUCGAGUCAGUUUGUGUCGGUAAGCAGGGCGACGAUCCCGAGUCCUUCACCAACGAGUGCGUCAUGAACAACUGCGAGCACAAGGAUAGUAAGUACUCCUGUAACUACUAUAGUGGCGCUCGAGCCAGACGGUGCCGGGAAGCAGGACGACAAGCCCAAAUCCUUCGGCAACGAGUGCGUCAUGAACAACUACAACUGCGAGCACAAGGACAGUUAGUACUCCUGUAACUACUAUAGUGGCCCUCGUCCAGACGGUGCCGGCAAGCAGGGCGACAAGCCCAAGUCAUUCGCCAACGAGUGCGUCAUGAACAACUACAACUGCGAGCAUAAGGACACGCUGCACAAGAUCAGCAAAGGUGAAUGCCCCGGCUCGCAAGGCAUCCGCCUGUCCUAAACGACGCGAAUACCGCCAGUUUUUACACUCUUCUAUUAUAAGUAAUUUAUCACAGAUGUUAUUUGCAUCACAAUAAUCUAUGAAUAACCUCUUUUGAUGAUUUUAAUCAGACUGCGAUCUAAAGUAUGCUGUGUUUAUUAUAUUUUUAUGCAUUUAUUGUAUUAAGCUAGUUUUGAAAGUAAUAAAGAGAUACAUAUUUGUUUAAA